rnacentral:rRNA from 1 species
GGAUUGAAUGGGCGAAGCCUGAUCCAGCAAUGCCGCGUGCAGGACGAAGGCCUUCGGGUUGUAAACUGCUUUUGUACGGAACGAAACGGUCUCCUCUAAUACAGGGGGCUAAUGACGGUACCGUAAGAAUAAGCACCGGCUAACUACGUGCCAGCAGCCGCGGUAAUACGUAGGGUGCAAGCGUUAAUCGGAAUUACUGGGCGUAAAGCGUGCGCAGGCGGUUAUAUAAGACAGAUGUGAAAUCCCCGGGCUCAACCUGGGACCUGCAUUUGUGACUGUAUAGCUAGAGUACGGUAGAGGGGGAUGGAAUUCCGCGUGUAGCAGUGAAAUGCGUAGAUAUGCGGAGGAACACCGAUGGCGAAGGCAAUCCCCUGGACCUGUACUGACGCUCAUGCACGAAAGCGUGGGGAGCAAACAGGAUUAGAUACCCUGGUAGUCCACGCCCUAAACGAUGUCAACUGGUUGUUGGGUCUUCACUGACUCAGUAACGAAGCUAACGCGUGAAGUUGACCGCCUGGGGAGUACGGCCGCAAGGUUGAAACUCAAAAGAAUUGACGGA